AUUGAACGCUGGCGGCAUGCCUUACACAUGCAAGUCGAACGGUAACGGGUCCUUCGGGAUGCCGACGAGUGGCGAACGGGUGAGUAAUAUAUCGGAACGUGCCCAGUAGUGGGGGAUAACUGCUCGAAAGAGCAGCUAAUACCGCAUACGACCUGAGGGUGAAAGGGGGGGAUCGCAAGACCUCUCGCUAUUGGAGCGGCCGAUAGCAGAUUAGCUAGUUGGUGGGGUAAAGGCCUACCAAGGCAACGAACUGUAGUUGGUCUGAGAGGACGACCAGCCACACUGGGACUGAGACACGGCCCAGACUCCUACGGGAGGCAGCAUUGGGGAAGUUUGGACGAUGGGCGCAAGCCUGAUCCAGCAAUGCCGCGUGCAGGAUGAAGGCCUUCGGGUUGUAAACUGCUUUUGUACGGAACGAAAAGCCCCGGGUUAAUACCCUGGGGUCAUGACGGUACCGUAAGAAUAAGCACCGGCUAACUACGUGCCAGCCGCCGCCGUAA
rnacentral:rRNA from 1 species